rnacentral:rRNA from 1 species
GGGUUGUGAGGUUAAGCGACUAAGCGUACACGGUGGAUGCCCUGGCAGUCAGAGGCGAUGAAGGACGUGCUAAUCUGCGAUAAGCGUCGGUGAGGUGAUAUGAACCGUUAUAACCGGCGAUUUCCGAAUGGGGAAACCCAGUGUGUUUCGACACACUAUCAUUAACUGAAUCCAUAGGUUAAUGAGGCGAACCGGGGGAACUGAAACAUCUAAGUACCCCGAGGAAAAGAAAUCAACCGAGAUUCCCCCAGUAGCGGCGAGCGAACGGGGAGGAGCCCAGAGCCUGAAUCAGUGUGUGUGUUAGUGGAAGCGUCUGGAAAGGCGCGCGAUACAGGGUGACAGCCCCGUACACAAAAAUGCACAUACUGUGAGCUCGAUGAGUAGGGCGGGACACGUGGUAUCCUGUCUGAAUAUGGGGGGACCAUCCUCCAAGGCUAAAUACUCCUGACUGACCGAUAGUGAACCAGUACCGUGAGGGAAAGGCGAAAAGAACCCCGGCGAGGGGAGUGAAAAAGAACCUGAAACCGUGUACGUACAAGCAGUGGGAGCCUCUUAAUGGGGUGACUGCGUACCUUUUGUAUAAUGGGUCAGCGACUUAUAUUCUGUAGCAAGGUUAACCGAAUAGGGGAGCCGAAGGGAAACCGAGUCUUAACUGGGCGUUAAGUUGCAGGGUAUAGACCCGAAACCCGGUGAUCUAGCCAUGGGCAGGUUGAAGGUUGGGUAACACUAACUGGAGGACCGAACCGACUAAUGUUGAAAAAUUAGCGGAUGACUUGUGGCUGGGGGUGAAAGGCCAAUCAAACCGGGAGAUAGCUGGUUCUCCCCGAAAGCUAUUUAGGUAGCGCCUCGUGAAUUCAUCUCCGGGGGUAGAGCACUGUUUCGGCAAGGGGGUCAUCCCGACUUACCAACCCGAUGCAAACUGCGAAUACCGGAGAAUGUUAUCACGGGAGACACACGGCGGGUGCUAACGUCCGUCGUGAAGAGGGAAACAACCCAGACCGCCAGCUAAGGUCCCAAAGUCAUGGUUAAGUGGGAAACGAUGUGGGAAGGCCCAGACAGCCAGGAUGUUGGCUUAGAAGCAGCCAUCAUUUAAAGAAAGCGUAAUAGCUCACUGGUCGAGUCGGCCUGCGCGGAAGAUGUAACGGGGCUAAACCAUGCACCGAAGCUGCGGCAGCGACACUAUGUGUUGUUGGGUAGGGGAGCGUUCUGUAAGCCUGUGAAGGUGUACUGUGAGGGUUGCUGGAGGUAUCAGAAGUGCGAAUGCUGACAUAAGUAACGAUAAAGCGGGUGAAAAGCCCGCUCGCCGGAAGACCAAGGGUUCCUGUCCAACGUUAAUCGGGGCAGGGUGAGUCGACCCCUAAGGCGAGGCCGAAAGGCGUAGUCGAUGGGAAACAGGUUAAUAUUCCUGUACUUGGUGUUACUGCGAAGGGGGGACGGAGAAGGCUAUGUUGGCCGGGCGACGGUUGUCCCGGUUUAAGCGUGUAGGCUGGUUUUCCAGGCAAAUCCGGAAAAUCAAGGCUGAGGCGUGAUGACGAGGCACUACGGUGCUGAAGCGACAAAUGCCCUGCUUCCAGGAAAAGCCUCUAAGCAUCAGGUAACAUCAAAUCGUACCCCAAACCGACACAGGUGGUCAGGUAGAGAAUACCAAGGCGCUUGAGAGAACUCGGGUGAAGGAACUAGGCAAAAUGGUGCCGUAACUUCGGGAGAAGGCACGCUGAUAUGUAGGUGAAGCGACUUGCUCGUGGAGCUGAAAUCAGUCGAAGAUACCAGCUGGCUGCAACUGUUUAUUAAAAACACAGCACUGUGCAAACACGAAAGUGGACGUAUACGGUGUGACGCCUGCCCGGUGCCGGAAGGUUAAUUGAUGGGGUUAGCGGUAACGCGAAGCUCUUGAUCGAAGCCCCGGUAAACGGCGGCCGUAACUAUAACGGUCCUAAGGUAGCGAAAUUCCUUGUCGGGUAAGUUCCGACCUGCACGAAUGGCGUAAUGAUGGCCAGGCUGUCUCCACCCGAGACUCAGUGAAAUUGAACUCGCUGUGAAGAUGCAGUGUACCCGCGGCAAGACGGAAAGACCCCGUGAACCUUUACUAUAGCUUGACACUGAACAUUGAGCCUUGAUGUGUAGGAUAGGUGGGAGGCUUUGAAGUGUGGACGCCAGUCUGCAUGGAGCCGACCUUGAAAUACCACCCUUUAAUGUUUGAUGUUCUAACGUGGGCCCCUUACCGGGGUUGCGGACAGUGUCUGGUGGGUAGUUUGACUGGGGCGGUCUCCUCCUAAAGAGUAACGGAGGAGCACGAAGGUUGGCUAAUCCUGGUCGGACAUCAGGAGGUUAGUGCAAUGGCAUAAGCCAGCUUGACUGCGAGCGUGACGGCGCGAGCAGGUGCGAAAGCAGGUCAUAGUGAUCCGGUGGUUCUGAAUGGAAGGGCCAUCGCUCAACGGAUAAAAGGUACUCCGGGGAUAACAGGCUGAUACCGCCCAAGAGUUCAUAUCGACGGCGGUGUUUGGCACCUCGAUGUCGGCUCAUCACAUCCUGGGGCUGAAGUAGGUCCCAAGGGUAUGGCUGUUCGCCAUUUAAAGUGGUACGCGAGCUGGGUUUAGAACGUCGUGAGACAGUUCGGUCCCUAUCUGCCGUGGGCGCUGGAGAACUGAGGGGGGCUGCUCCUAGUACGAGAGGACCGGAGUGGACGCAUCACUGGUGUUCGGGUUGUCAUGCCAAUGGCACUGCCCGGUAGCUAAAUGCGGAAGAGAUAAGUGCUGAAAGCAUCUAAGCACGAAACUUGCCCCGAGAUGAGUUCUCCCUGACUCCUUGAGAGUCCUGAAGGAACGUUGAAGACGACGACGUUGAUAGGCCGGGUGUGUAAGCGCAGCGAUGCGUUGAGCUAACCGGUACUAAUGAACCGUGAGGCUUAACCUUACAACGCCGAAG